rnacentral:rRNA from 1 species
CAACAGGNUAUUGCCUCAGUAACGGCGAGUGAAGCGGCAACAGCUCAAAUUUGAAAUCUGGCUCUUUCAGGGUCCGAGUUGUAAUUUGUAGAAGAUGCUUCGGGUGUACGCUCCGGUCUAAGUUCCUUGAAACAGGACGUCAUAGAGGGUGGGAAUCCCGUAUGUGACUGGGUGCUUUCGCUCAUGUGAAGCUCUUUCGACGAGUCGAGUUGUUUGGGAAUGCAGCUCAAAAUGGGUGGUAAAUUUCAUCUAAAGCUAAAUAUUGGCCAGAGACCGAUAGCGCACAAGUAGAGUGAUCGAAAGAUGAAAAGCACUUUGGAAAGAGAGUUAAACAGUACGUGAAAUUUGUUGAAAGGGAAGCGCUU